UCCAAUGCCUGCCAGAUGUCAAGAACUUAAACGCCGGCGAAGAAGAGGGGGAAUUCCAGCCGGGCAAGGUCAGACCUAGUGAGCAGCGCUCACUGUUUCCUCCCCUCCCCUCUCUUCCCCGCCAUCUCCCUCUUCCUCGGGAGGGCGCAGGCCGAGAGGGCGGCGAGGGAGACGGAGAGGCGGGGAGAGAGAGAGAGAGAGAACGCGGACCGGCCGUUUCGAAACCCCAGCGACUCCCGCGGCAAG
rnacentral:lncRNA from 1 species